rnacentral:miRNA from 1 species
GCAAAAGUAAUUGCGGUUUCUAAUCAUUUAAAAGUAAUGGCAAAAACUGCAGUUACUUUUACACC